UCGAGGGAGUCGGUUUGUGACGAUCUCGGUGUCCCCUCCCGUCGCCGCGGAACAAAAGCCGCCGAUCCGCUGGGUUCGUUUAUUUCUCUCGGGAAACUUGUCUCGUGGAUUCCGCCGGGUUGCACUUGUUCCCGGAGACCGGUGCGUUCGAAUCGCGAUGCGAGCCAUGCCGCGUUCGAUCGACAACGACGACGAGGGCUAGCCUUGCCCUUGAAGUAGCAGCAGUAGCUGCAGCAGCAGCAGCAGCGAGUUUCGAGUGGUCGACACGGAGAGAGGAGCGCAUACCGCGCACGAGCCACCAGCUGUGCCGGAAUCAUCCGCGUGUGUUUGUGUUCAACGUUUUUCCUUGUUUUCCUUCUCUGCGCACUCACCCCAGCAGAGUUCUCUCCUCGUCCUCUUCGCCCUCGAGCCGUCGAAGAGAGACAGAGAGAGAGAAAGUAUUCGUGACAAAAGAGAGGACAGUUUUUACGUUACCGUGGUUGGCAUUGUCCGUUGUUCAGUUCUGUUUGGUGCUUAUGGUGAAUUCGCCGGGACGAUAAGCGAGCCGGGAACAAAGGGACCAGCCGACCACCACAGUGCUCGGGAGCAAGGGAGAGAGAUAUCGGCGUGUAUCGAUCGAGAGAGCGGUGCUCGCUGUUGACGAUAUUUGACAAUAUUUGGAGCAUCACGAACCUUUUACGUUUUAAGCGAACGUAGAAUAUUCUACAUACUUCGUGGACUUCCAGAUGUAAUUUAAUUGCUUUUUUUCAGUUAUUUAAAAGUGAUUUUAUUCAUUUGAUGCUUGUUAGUUGGGACUAUUCGACUAAGAUACAUACAAAUGACGGAGGAGUUGUGACGGUGGCUGAAGUUUGGUCGUGCAAGGUUUACACUGCAUAGUUCGUUAAAGGAUAUUUUAGGCAGUAAAAUAUUCAGAUUUUGGAGUCAGGUCGCCAAACUUAAACAUCAUCAAAAAUUACUGAUGAGGGAGAUGAUUCCAUACUGUUCAGGAAUUUAAAGGUGGCGUCGAACAAAACCGGAUAACGUUAAGCAGAAAAUUUAUUUAAACAUGAUUGAAAUUAUAUAUACCUAAACAUUUAUUGGCAAUUGCAGAAUUCAAAUAGGUGAAGCUACAAAGUACUGAAAUCAUAUCUUUUAGGUAUUCUUAAUUUUUUAUUAUUUGAAAAAGUUUAUGCUUUCUUCUAAUAUUUCGUUUUUCAUGAAUAUUGUAUAAUUAAAUAUUUUCAUCUAAAUGAAUCUGCAUAAAUAUAUUGAAGCAAUUUAUUGUUCUCAUUGUACCCUAUGAACGUCGAAACGUGAAUACAAUAUGUUACUUGAAAGGUGUAAGAAUAUAUUAUUCAGAAUAGCAAUAAAACAUUAUUAAUACAUUGCAAUAA